UUAAUCGAGGGAUUGCUCGUUAACCGAAGUUAAGAAUCUUAUGGAAGGUAACUCGUUAACCGAGGCGCUCGUUAACCGAGGGACCACUGUACUGUACUGUACUGUACUGUAAGACAAUGUGGCCUGGUGGUUCUCUUGAUCAUAGCAGAUCCCGGGAUAUUCCUUGACCACUGUUUAGUUACACUCUACAGUACUGUAUAUGUCUUGUAUUUUAAAAAGACUUAUAAUGGAUGUUGGAUAUCCCCCCCAUCAACUUGGAGCAGGUGCACAGGUCCCCACAGAGAGCAUAGAACAAUUGUCAUGUGUACCUUUUGGAGCUACAGUCAAACCUCUACUUAAUGGACUACUACAGUAUAUAGAGAUGACAAUCCAUUUUAACGAGGGUCUGUUAAAUGUGAAACCUCCCUCUAACAGAUUUACACGUUAUAUAGAGGUCAUACUGUAUGGUUGAGAGCCCCAGACUUCCUUCUGAUAUGAAACAGCAAACUCUUAAAGUGUAAUACAUUAUAAGGGCCUUACUGUAUGUCACACUAAGGUUCUGAAACACCAGCUUAUCUACAACACUGUCUCUGGAUAAGCAGGUUACUCAUAGAUCAGGACCAUGAGUUUGCAGUUUACAAAUACAGUUCAGUACAAUGGCUGUUAUUUUCCAUCAUAUGACUUACUAUUGUCUAAUGAAAAAGAUUAAAACCAGUGUCAAGUUUAUUUGUUGUACAAGACACUAAGAGAGUGUGUUAGUUAAGACACAAGACCAGUAUAUGCCAAGGUCGUGUAUUUUUUAAGUCUGGCUUGUGAUGUAUAUACAGUACAGUACAGAGCACUACACUACACUACACUACACUAUAGUAUAUGGUUGAUGGAAUUACACUAUUUUCCUCCUUUUUGUUGUAGUCGUAAAUGGUUGUUUUCUUUCCUUCAUAAGCUCUCUGGCUUCUCUUCUGCCUCAGUUAUGUCAACUUCAUGUUUGGAUUAUUAAAGCAACUCAGUUUAUCAAGCUUUUUGUGGUGUUUAGGUCAGUUUUAGGCUGGGUGAUGGUUCAACUGGUUUUGUAGUGGGGAAUUAAUGGUUCACUUUCUGUUCCUUGUGAAUUCUUUACUUUCUCAUUGACCAGCUUGGGGUGUAUCUGGCUGUGACGCCCGCCUUUUCCACUGAUUAUUGGGGCACCACACAUUAAUGGCUUCUUCUCUCCUUGAGGAUCAUACCACUGAAUAAGUGUAUUGGGUAGUGAGUGCCACCCUCCCUACCCAAUAUUUACAUAUAUGGUGCUGUACUCUAUCUAUAAAUGGAUCAACUCUCAUAGGUUCACUUCUGCUUAUCCCUAGGAAGGAACAUUUGUAGCGCCACCUUGGCCCUCUCAUCUAGCUAAAGGGUGUAUGCUACAAGUGAGGACUUGAAACUGAAUUUUUAAUUUAUAGCAGAAGCCCAGAGCCAGGUUCAUGAUUACUCAGCAAUGCAUAAAACUUCAAAAUGGCAGAAUGAUUGAUGGAGAGAUGGCGGAGCAACAGCCAAGGCACAGAGCAGUAUAGGGUAGUCACAACUGUAGGUGACCUUCAGCUUCUUGGGGCAACCUUUACACUUAAUUUUCCUUAGUUGAUGCUGAGGAAUAUGACCUUAAAAAAGGUUAAUGUAUCAGACCUACUGCCAGGUACACAACAGUACUGUACUGUAUGUGGUCAUAACCUUGAAGAAGGCAAGCAUAGUACAGUACUGUACUGUAUGUGGUCAUAACCUUGAAGAAGGCAAGCAUAGUACAUUACUGUACUGUAUGUGGUCAUAACCUUGAAGAAGGCAAGCAUAGUACAGUACUGUACUGUAUGUGGUCAUAACCUUGAAGAAGGCAAGCAUAGUACAGUACUGUACUGUAUGUGGUCAUAACCUUGAAGAAGGCAAGCAUAGUACAUUACUGUACUGUAUGUGGUCAUAACCUUGAAGAAGGCAAGCAUAGUACAGUACUGUACUGUAUGUGGUCAUAACCUUGAAGAAGGCAAGCAUAGUACAGUACUGUACUGUAUGUGGUCAUAACCUUGAAGAAGGCAAGCAUAGUACAUUACUGUACUGUAAUGACAGUUGUCUGUGGCUAUUGCUUCAUAAUAGCAUUUCAGGGUUGAUUCCUCCUCUAGUAGGUUGACAGUAAGAGCAGCAUUAUCAUAUGAUACUUAAUAUUUUUUUCUUUCUUAGAAAUCCAGAAGAAACAAUUUGAGGAGUAGAAGUUAAUCAUGGUGAAUGUGUUGUAUACUUCUUUUACCUGCUGGUGAUCUCUCAAGUAGUGAAUAUGAAUCUUCCUAAGGAAAUAGUUAUUAUAAGUUUUAAUCUUGUGUAGGGAAUCUUAGUAUAAGACUACCGGUACUCUACUCUGCUGCCAGUCUUGUAAACAAAAUAAUUAUUGAUGCUAUGUAUGGAUUAACUUUUUAUUUCAAAUAGACUGCUUAUUGGAUACUGUACUGUACAUUCAUAUAGAAAUACUUGAUAAAUGCUUCUGUAUGUGCCAUGUUAGCUAUGUUGCAGUAGUACUGUACAAUGUACUCGUACACCUUGGUUAUCCUGCACUGGUAGAGUGAGAUAACUGCUGCUGGUUUGGUGAACUGAUCCUGGCCACUCUCCUACCUCAAAAUCAUGAGUCAUUUCCGUUAUGUUCCCUGUAAUUUGAAUUUACUGCUUUACUGGGGGAAGGAAGCCAGUGGCUCUGGUAACCCAUCCAGGCAUGAAAGUGGUCGUUCCUGAUGCGUUUGUCUUUCAGUAGUUGUGGACUAGUGUUUGUACAGGAGAAAACUAGAUUUGUGUUAGGAUCAAUGAGGUACGGUACAGUAUAUAUAAUACAGUUGUGCACAGUUAUUAAGUAGAAUUUCUUCGCCAAAGUGAUAAACAGAAUAACUGCCAACAUUCAGUAAACAAAUCAAGAGUAACCCAUCUGUAACAGUACAGAAGACAAACUAAACUCUUAUUACACUUUUUCCUCCUAAAUAAUAUAUUGUACAGCUACAACACAAAGCUGGAUAACAGUUCAGUACACUACACUACAACAGUACAGUACAAUAUAUUAAUAAAGGGAAAUGAAAUAUCUUCAAAUAGUGUGAAAUUCAGGUCCAAUAUAUAAAUUAUUAAUCUUUUUCAAAAUGCACAAGCAAUGCAGUUGCCUGCAGUCAGGUCUAAAACUUGCCUUUGAAUCUCCAACCAGUUUUGUGUCAUAGUGAAACCGCAUGUCUCUUUAUUCUGCACUGUAUUAGUUUGUUAUACACAUUUAAAACAAAUGUACACAAAAUUAUCUGAACUUGGAAAAAAUUCAUUAAUGGAGGAAUUGUGCUCAAAUAUCUUCCAAAUUAGGUGAUUUUUGGUGAAGAAUUACUGUAGUUGUUAGUGAUAACUCACAGCAGUACAGGUAUCCCCCUCUUUAUGACUAUACACUCUAACGUUAAUUACAUUUUAACAUCCUCUCGCUGUUUAUGUUUUAGGCAAAAUCCACGUUAACGGUAGUUAGUGUCGGGCUAAACUCGUGGCCGGUACAGUAUUCACUUCUCCAUCCUCCACGCAGUUCACCGAGCCGCACGCUGCCACCGUGGGAACUACGGUCCCGCGCUUUCCUUCAACGUGAUCGCAUCUGCCCUCGCUCGCGUAACAAACGUUAUUGAUAUUAAGCGUUGCAUAUCCCGUGAUUGCUGAUAUAUUUUGCCGUUAUUAGUCAGAAUAAAACGUUAUCAUUCAGAUUUUACUCUUGUUUUGGUGACUGUGAAGUGAUCAGUGUACAGUAACUCUGUAACUUUAAAAAUGGCUGGCAAGUGUCCUGCUGACUCUCCCGCCUCUGGUAAAUGCUAGGCACCAGACUUAUUAUUAGUGUUUAAUUUUGUUUUUUCCAGUAUUCCUUUAAUUAGUGUAGUAUCAUUUUUCUAGGAUACAUGUCUGCAUCAGACAGGCCAGGAACAUAUCCCAUUGAAACCUAUGUUAAUAAGAUCCCAAUUUUUAUUAAUUCGGUUUAUGUUAAGAGUUUUCAGGAAUGCAAUCCUAUCAUAAAUAAGGGAAUACCUGUAUGUGUAUAAGUAUCAUGAAAUAUUAAAACAAACAAGUUUCACUACUUGUAAACAUGACUCCAUGAAGGGAUCAGCAGGUCCACACACACACACACACACUCUUGUUAUUGUUUAUUACAUUAUUUGUGAAUUUACUGGAUCAAAAUAGUUUUCUGUAAAAAGGUUAGUGUCACCUGGACCAAUAAUGCUCUUCAUUCUUUCUGUAGUUCUAAAAUAUAAUUUUUCUUCUGGAUUUCUGAAACUUUGAGGUUUUUAUGUAAAUGAAACACUGCAGUGGAAUAUAUAUAAAUGUACUGUACACAGAUAUAGCUUACUGUGUUGUGUGGCAGAAGACAUGUAUUAAUAAGUGCAGUACAGUAUUGGGUGAUUGAGAAAGAAAGUUGUGGAAGCCAACAACUUAAUGUUUGGUUGAUAAUGCAGUUUAUAAACAGAGAGAAAUACAGUACAAUAUUUUAUCUGUUGGUUAGAUUUGCUAAAUUGUUAAAUACUAAUGGUGGGGUGGCUACUGCUUAAUGAUUGGGAGGUUUACUCUGAGAGUAGUAAGGUGCCAUACUGCUUAAUGAUUGGGAGGUUUACUCUGAGAGUAGUAAGGUGCCAUACUGCUUAAUGAUUGGGAGGUUUACUCUGAGAGUAGUAAGGUGCCAUACUGCUUAAUGAUUGGGAGGUUUACCCUGAGAGUAGUAAGGUGCCAUACUGCUUAAUGAUUGGGAGGUUUACUCUGAGAGGAAUAAAAGCUGCCUAUGUAAUGUACAAUACUGUACUGUAUUGUGUCUGAAAUGUAUGAUAUUCGUUCAAAAUUGUUACAGGUAUUUUUAAGGUUCAGUACAGUACUCAUUUAUAUGUGUAAAACUUAAUGAUAAUUUUAACAGUCAGAGAAGGAAGUAAUAUUCCCCAAAACUUAACUAUUUUUAUUUUAAAUAGUUAGCAAUAUGUCACAAGCGAUAGCUUUAGUUUUACGUAAAAAAAUAUCUAGCUGUAAUAAGUUGGAAUUUUGCUUUACUACAAACUUUUCUUAAUUUCACAAAUGUUGGAGUAAGUUUUUCCUUUUGUAUGUGUAGUACAGUGGGUGUGCUGUGCUGUGCUGUGUUAUGUUGGUUUUCAGUUUCUUGAUUAUGAACAAAUAUGAACGACGCCGAUUGUUUGAAUUUAAACUUGUGGUGCACGAGUUUAUUACGUGUAUGUCUUCAGGUUUCGGGAUACACUAUAGCCUUGUGCCUACUGAACUGCACAACAAUUAAAACACGUCAUUUACUGUGUGCUGCCGGUGAGAAUUAAUAAAAUCAUAUUCUGUAUUAUACAUUUUGGUCUGUUUUGUGUCCAUAAAUUAUUAUCCUCUUCUAUUAUUUGGUUACUACUGUAUAUGAGACUCUUGUUUUAUCCAUUAGUUUGAAGUCUGCAGCACACCUACAAGUCCACUGUUUCACUUCAAUACUCUUUUGUUUAUGCUAAAUAUUAUAUUCAUUAUGUAUUUUGAUUUUGUAAUACUGUACUGUUCUAUUAAUUCAGGAUGUGGGCUACAGUCGUCACACACAUACUCCACACGGUUCUGUAAUGGAAAGUGUGAAUGAGAAGAAAGUGUCUACAUAAUUAAUUCUGUGAUGUAUUACCCACUGGUUGCUAUUGCAGUCAUGUCAUGUGAGGUCUGUUCCAGUGUGAUUAUUGUAAAGAAUGUCAGAACAAGAGGUGGGUACAGGUGCUCCUUCUAAGAUGGCAAAAUUAUGUAGUCGGUGCUCCUGCAGAAGAACUAAGCCCCCUCUCCCAUGACACACACAAACACAAACACACGUUCCUAUGCUUUGAUUUUACCGUGAUUUUUUAAGGUAUGACCAAAAGUAAUAGAUAAAAAUAAGUUUCAAGUUAGGCGUGGGAUCACAUAUUCAUUUUGCCGGAUAUGAAUUAUUGCACCUUAAGUAUUUAUUCAUCCUGCCACUUGAAGUCUCUCUUAGCAUCAUAUUGUGGCAUUAGUUCAUAACAGUUUGUUAGUGUUCACAGUUGACCAAUCCCAUAAAUGGUCAUGCUAGCGGGCAGUUACUCGUGCCCUUGUUAAUCACCGUGUGUAAAUACUUGUGAUUUAGCCCUACACUCAUCUGCUCGGUGCAAGGGACUUUUAAUAUCUAUUGUGCGAGAGAGUAAGUAGUAACUAGAUCAUUUUUGACAUAGACAAAUUUAUUACAAUAUUGUAAGUCAUGUAUGUAAAUAUAUCUGUAAAUAAAACAUUAUACAAAAGUA